rnacentral:rRNA from 1 species
AAGUCGUAACAAGGUAACCGUAGGUGAACCUGCGGUUGGAUCAUUACAAAGUUUUUGUUGUUGCUCUUCGGAGUCUCAACUUCAACCCCUUGUGCAAUUGUGAAUGUUUCUGGGUGUUCUUUUGGACUCUCUAGUUCAAACCACCCACUCUUAUAAACACUAUUAUUUGUCUGAAAUUAAGAAAUUAAUUAUAAACAACUUUUGACAACGGAUCUCUUGGCUCUCGCAACGAUGAAGAACGCAGCGAAAUGCGAUACGUAGUGUGAAUUGCAAAAUUCCGUGAAUCAUCGAAUCUUUGAACGCAACUUGCACUCUGUUUCGGCAGAGUAUGCCUGUUUGAGAAUCUAUAUAUCAAUACAACGUUUUGUUGUGAUUUGAGCUCUGGUGACAACCUGGCUUUAAACAUAUAGCUUCGGGCUUUGUAAAUGAUUACGUCCCGAACCAGAGAGAUGAAGGGGCAACCCACUUCCUUUGGGAACUGACUAGUUUAUAAAGCUUUGAACUCACCUAUUAAGUACUUAGUACUGAAACCUAGGUCUCAAAUCAGGUAGGAGGACCCGCUGAACUUAAGCAUAUCAAUAAGCGGAGGAAAAGAAACUAACAAGGAUUCCCCUAGUAACGGCGAGUGAAGCGGGAACAGCUCAAAUUUGAAAUCUCAGUGUUUGCGCACUGCGAAUUGUAGUUUAGAGAAGCGUUUUCGGAGGCGGCCUGUGUACAAGUUCUUUGGAACGAGGCAUCAUAGAGGGUGAGAAUCCCGUCCAUGACACAGCAACCGUUUUCAUGUGAUACGUUUUCCAAGAGUCGGUUUGUUUGGGAAUGCAGACCAAAAUGGGUGGUAAAUACCAUCUAAAGCUAAAUAAUGGCGAGAGACCGAUAGCGAACAAGUACCGUGAGGGAAAGAUGAAAAGAACUUUGAAAAGAGAGUUAAACAGUACGUGAAAUUGUCAAAAGGGAAACGCUUGGAACCAGUAUUGUGCUUUAAAGUUUAGCCGUCCUUUUGGUCGGUGACUCUUUUCUGUGCGAGUCAACAUCAGUUUGACCUGGGUGAAAAAGCUCCAGAAAGGUAGCCCUCUCGGGGGUGUUAUAGUUUGGAGUUAUAGCCUGGAUUGGACUGAGGACUGCAGCGCUUUUGGGGAACCUGUCGCUUUGGAGGCUAGCGACUUGUCUGCUUGCAGACUUUAGUGAUGCUGAAGAGCCCGGCGGGUGUACCACACCAACGCUUAGGAUGUUGACGAAAUGGUUUUAAACGACC